AGCACAGCUACUUUCCUUGGGCUUGACCAUACGGCCUCAAUUCCACUCGAGGGGUAUCCCCUCCUCACCAUAUGAGUCAAUUCCACUCGAGGGGUAUCCCCUCCUCACCAUAUGAGUGAAUCCAAUGGAUCAAAUAUCGAUUCCAAACCCCACAUCCGAGCUGCUAGCAGCAGAUCACUGGACAUCUCAAAACUAGCAUUUAAUCGAACCUCACCGUCCAUCAGGAGAUUCGAACCUAGAUUGUGCGGUUGGAAGCCACAGCCCAUUUCACUGGGCUGCCACUGCAGUGGUUGUAAAAGAUG
rnacentral:lncRNA from 1 species